GUGGGUGGGGGGUGGGCC
rnacentral:misc_RNA from 1 species